UGCAAGUCGAACGAAGUAGCAAUACUUAGUGGCAGACGGGUGAGUAACAUGUGGGUAUCUUCCCUUUGGUGAGGAACAACACGAGGAAACUUGUGCUAAUACCUCAUAAGUCUUUACGGAGAAAGCUUUAUGCGCCGAUGGAUGAGCCCGCACUUGAUUAGUUUGUUGGUAGGGUAAUGGCCUACCAAGACUGUGAUCAAUAGCUGAUUUGAGAGGAUGAUCAGCCACAUUGGGACUGAGACACGGCCCAAACUCCUACGGGAGGCAGCAGUAGGGAAUCUUGCACAAUGGAGGAAACUCUGAUGCAGCGAUGCCGCGUGAGUGAAGAAGGCCUUUGGGUUGUAAAGCUCUUUCGUCGGGGAAGAAAAUGACUGUACCCGAAUAAGAAGGUCCGGCUAACUUCGUGCCAGCAGCCGCGGUAAUACGAAGGGACCUAGCGUAGUUCGGAAUUACUGGGCUUAAAGAGUUCGUAGGUGGUUAAAAUAGUUGGUGGUGAAAUCCCAGAGCUUAACUCUGGAACUGCCAUCAAAACUUUUUAGCUAGAGUAUGAUAGAGGAAAGCAGAAUUUCUAGUGUAGAGGUGAAAUUCGUAGAUAUUAGAAAGAAUACCAAUUGCGAAGGCAGCUUUCUGGAUCAUUACUGACACUGAGGAACGAAAGCAUGGGUAGCGAAGAGGAUUAGAUACCCUCGUAGUCCAUGCCGUAAACGAUGUGUGUUAGACGUUGGAAAUUUAUUUUCAGUGUCGCAGCGAAAGCAAUAAACACACCGCCUGGGGAGUACGACCGCAAGGUUAAAACUCAAAUGAAUUGACGGGGACCCGCACAAGUAGUGGAGCAUGUGGUUUAAUUCGAAGAUACGCGCAGAACCUUACCAACACUUGACAUGUUCGUCGCGACUC
rnacentral:rRNA from 1 species